AUUUGGUGGUGAGGGCAAAUAGCACAUAAUUUUUUAAAUCUCUCCCAGUAUUCAUAUAGGCUCUCUCCUCUACGCUGCCUAAUGCCUGAGAUAUCUUUUCUGAUGAU
rfam:Glycine max cultivar Williams 82 chromosome 8, whole genome shotgun sequence.